AAUCUCUACAGCUCAACUGUUCGGAUGAUCAUUUCCUUUUGUAACCAGACUUUUUGUAUUCUAAUUCAUAGGAAUGCACAGAUGGCAAGUGGAGCUUCAGUAGAGUUGCACAAUACUUCCGAAACAGUUAGAGAUUCUCUAUUUUUCCCUGAACCCUACUUGAGUCUGAAGGCAUGGACAUGUAAACAGACUAAGAGAGAGUUAUGUGUAUUUAUGUUGGAGACCCACAUAUUCAGAAGCAAGAGCUGUAAAAUUAAGAUCCAAUGUUUUUAUAGUAUUCGUAUCAAAGUACGCUCUUUAUUCUUUGCUUAUGUCACUACAGAUAAAAUCUUGGUCUGGACCAUCUGCUACUAAGUCUGAGAACCUGUUUUCCGAGUCUAAGAAUUCAAGACCUAGACACGGCCGCCACCUCUUUGUUGAUGGCCCUUCGACUUUGUAAUCAAUAGAGGCUAAGAAAGCCAUGGUUCCUGACAAACUCGCUGAGCUUUGGGUCGUUGACCCUGAGAGAUCUAAAAGUAACGGCACUGCAACCAAAAUAACGAGUGCAUCGAGUCAGAAUGACCCGCACCAAGUCGUGUGGAACGGCAAUCCUACAAAACUUUGUCCCAACUGUCAUCACGUCAUUGACAACAGUUACGAAGUUGAUGACUGGCCAGGCUUGCCUCAAGGUGUGAAAUUCGAUCCCUCUGAUCCAGAGAUCAUCUGCCAUUUGCUUGCAAAAUCUGGAUUGUUGGGUUUAAGCUCCCACCCUUUCAUUAAUGAGUUCAUCACAACUGUCAAUCAAGAUGAUGGAAUCUGUUACGCACAUCCUAAAAACUUACCAGUCUAGCCAUUUCAGUGAUCGUACCAGUUCUUCCAAGUUUUAUCUUAAUCCGAUUUUUUUUUUAAAACAAAUCGAGGCCUUAAGCACGACGGGACUGCGUCCCACUUUUCAAUAGAGCUAUCAAAACUUACAGCGCAUGAACUAACCAGUUGUAUUGGAUGGUGCGUUUAGUCACUGCCAUGGUAUCCAGUACAUGUUGGUCCAACACUACAAAACGUUGAUGCCUGCUUUUUAACUUUCCACUCUCUCCAACAACACCUCUUCUCUUUUUCUGCUUACUGCUAGAACCUUAUCUCCAGAGUGUCGUUGUGUUUAUCUUUUCGUACUCCAUUUCUUGAAGGAAAGUGAACGGUGUGCAAAACAUGCCUUUAAUGUCGAUGGAGAAGUCUCACGAGGAAGAGCAUUCGCACAUUUUCUUUCAGGUGGUUAUGUUUGACGUUUCAGUAAGUACAAGUAUGCUCAGCUAAUGAUUGCUAGCCGAAUGAGUUAUUCAUUCAUUGUUGUGCAGUUUUUUGCCUCAUGUUUUAGUACUUUUUCAUGAGCGAAGUGGCCUCAAUA